CGAGUCCAUAUAUUUCAAUUAUAAUUGCCAACGAUAAUAGUUAUCUUAUAACUAAAUUCUUAGUAAUAACGGGUUUCCAUAGGGUAUGGGUAAAUAUUUUUAACUUUUUACCGACCAAAUCAGAUAGGUAUGGAUAAGUGAUCCUGAAGUUCAUAUUUAGGUGUUCACUCACCGUGAGGGAUCUAUUUGCAGAAAAAAACUUAAAUAGAUGGGGAAAGUGAGCAAAAUAAGAAACUUCCAUAAAUUACAUAAUCCAUUAGUAUUAAGAGCAAAAAUUCCCUUUUUAAUGGAUGGGGGAAGGAGAGUAACGGGAUUGGUGCAACACCGGUCUUGUGUUCUCUUCUUCUCAAUCUCCCAUGGAAUUUAUGACAGAGUUCAAGAGACAUAUGUUUGCUGAGGAAGUCUCACUGGUGCUUUCAAGAUGGGAUGCGCUCCAGAUGGCGGUGGAGAAGGAAUGGGGCGGUGUUGAUUCUCGUAAGAAAUCUCAGCUACUCGAAUACACCAUCCUAUCGUAGUUCUCCCAAUUCAAAGGUUGGUUAAUAUCAAUAUAUAAUAUCUGAAAUUGAUCCAUCUCAUCAACUGAAUAGACUGGUAAUCUCUUACUAACCUUGUUUGGUAGUUUGCCAUCGUGAUGUUGAUGAUCUGGAGCAUUUGCUUGAUGAGAACAUGAUGUUCUCGUUCAACGCAGAAAUCAACAACGGUACUAUUGAGGAAGUUGCAGAGCAGCUGAUCAUGAUACACGAAGACUGUAUCCAUGGAGAUUAAGAUUAAAAUAAAAUAGAAAACUAAAUAGAAAUGCCAUGUUGCAAUGACGUUCGAAUCUCCCAGGGUUUAUUGUACAAAGAAAUUACAUGUGCGACAUGGAUGGGAAUUGGGAAAGAAUGACCAACGAUCGGAUACAAGAAGAAAUGAAAUUAUGAAGAAUAUAAAUCAACACAACAAUGAAAUUGACAGUUUGCGAGUGUUAUUUCAUUAUCGCACGGAGACAAUCCUACCAAUUCCACCCUCGCUGUUACCACCGGCUUCCUCAGAUAUCCCAUCUUUUGGAAUCCGAACAACGAGCUCACCAUCCACGUAAUUCGCCACUGCAAGCUCAGGUCUGGUACAGGAUGGUAGUCGGAAUCUCCAGCGAUCUAACUCCAGAUCACCAUCACCGUCAACACUGUCUCUGAUGACAACCUUGAUAAUAUUGGGAUGGAUAUGAAUCGCAUGUGCACGAACAUCGUCCCCGAAAUUAUCUGCCGCAACUACAAACACAAACCCCAUGACAUCUUCCUGAACGUCCACGUCGGCAUCGGAUCUGAAAGGGAGUUCGAGGACUUUACUGAAGGUGUGUGGAAGUCGUCGGAGUUUCUUCUGUCUUCCCUCGAUCCCCUCUGCCAAGCUUCGAUUACCAAUUUCACGGAAAGCUAUGUUGUUCCUCUUCCUUGGAAUCGACACGGGGUGGACCUUCAUUUUCCGAACACCGCUGUCGACACAAGUUUGAAAAGUUGGGAUCUUUACCGUUGUCGAAGCCCCCAAAUCCCCAGACGAAAUCAACAAUAACAGAGUCAGACAACCACGGAACAUAUAAUCAAACCAACCUACCGCUACGAAAUCGAUGAUUUGUAGACAAAAACCACAAAGAAGAAAUAAAUCCUCUCGAUAUCGAAACCCUAACAAUAAAAAAAAAUUGCGAAUGAAAAAGACGAAUGGAAGAGGACCGAUGGGGAGAGGGAGAAAAUAUGUGUGUUUCGCAACAAUACCUUUACGACUUUGCCCAUGAUGUUCGUACUAUUUACAUUUUACCGAAUUACAGACAUCCAAAUAUAAUUACGUCACAUCAAACUAUUAAAUAGACAAACCGGACUAGAAUCUUUCGAUGAUGGGACCUACACAUUAGAUGGGAAUCAUUGGAUAGCUGGCUAGUUUUUCUUGUAAGUUAAAUUGCAUUCAUGAAGUAAAGCAAAGUUACAGAAUUAAAGCAUUUUUUUUUUAUGUUAUUCACUUAUCAUAAAUAAAUAAAAAGGCAUUACAUGAUUUACAUCUAUUACAUAAUUUAGCUAAUUUACUUUUUUUUUUUUAUUGUUUGUUUAAUUAUUAUUUUUAUUGUAGUCUUAUAAUCUCUUUAUUUUAUUUCUAAUGUAAAUCGUCUAUAAAAAUGAAUUUAACUAAUUUACUUUAUCCUACUUUAACAGUUAGUUUUGUUAAGAGUGUUCCUUCUUAUCAGUUAUAAAUCAUUAUUCAAAAAUUAGUUAUAGAUGAAUAACUCAAUUAUUCAAUUAAUCCUUAAUUAUACUUGAUAAGUAUUUGGCUAAUCUAUUAUUGUAACAGGAUAAAAGGCUACAUUUACAAGCCCAGACUAUGGACCGGCCCAGAAGAGAAAAGAAAUAAAAAGAAUUCAACAAGAUUUAGUUGAUAUUAAUAAAUACUUAUGGGUUGUAAUAAAAUGUUUUUAGUUUUAUAAAUAACAUUGGUAAAAGUUACAAUUAAAUCAAUUCAAUUUGCAUUUUACAC
rnacentral:lncRNA from 1 species